GGGCCCGCACAAGCGGUGGAGCAUGUGGUUUAAUUCGAUGCAACGCGAAGAACCUUACCUACUCUUGACAUCUACAGGAUCCUGCGGAGACGCGGGAGUGCCUUCGGGAACUGUAAGACAGGUGCUGCAUGGCUGUCGUCAGCUCGUGUUGUGAAAUGUUGGGUUAAGUCCCGCAACGAGCGCAACCCUUAUCCUUGUUUGCCAGCACGUAAUGGUGGGAACUCCAGGGAGACUGCCGGUGAUAAACCGGAGGAAGGUGGGGACGACGUCAAGUCAUCAUGGCCCUUACGAGUAGGGCUACACACGUGCUACAAUGGCGCAUACAGAGGGCAGCAAGCUAGCGAUAGUGAGCGAAUCCCAAAAAGUGCGUCGUAGUCCGGAUUAGAGUCUGCAACUCGACUCCAUGAAGUCGGAAUCGCUAGUAAUCG
rnacentral:rRNA from 1 species